rnacentral:rRNA from 1 species
GACGAACGCUGGCGGCGUGCUUAACACAUGCAAGUCGAACGGAAAGGCCUGUCCUUCCUUGUGUUGGACGGGUACUCGAGUGGCGAACGGGUGAGUAACACGUGAGUGAUCUGCCCCCAACUUGGGUAUAAGCCUGGGAAACUGGGUCUAAUUCCCGAUAGGACUGCAGGGUGGUGCCUGUGGUGGAAAACGAUUUUCUAGUGGUUGGGGAUGAGCUCGCGGCCUAUCAGCUUGUUGGUGGGGUAAUGGCCUACCAAGGCGGCGACGGGUAGCCGGCCUGGGAGGGUGGACGGCCACAUUGGGACUGAGAUACGGCCCAGACUCCUACGGGAGGCAGCAGUGGGGAAUAUUGCACAAUGGGCGGAAGCCUGAUGCAGCGACGCCGCGUGGGGGAUGACGGCCUUCGGGUUGUAAACUCCUUUCGACCGCGAGGAAGCCGCCUGGCUGGAAGGGUGGUGACGGUAGUGGUAGAAGAAGCACCGGCUAACUACGUG